GUAGCUGACUAGAGCUUGAUGGGAGAAGACCAGGCUCCUAGCAGAAGGAAGGGGUAUCAGCACUUGGGACAGAGCAGUGCUGCAACCAGGGACUGGGGGAGCUAAAGAGAGCUCCUGACUGGCUGCUAGGGCCUGCAGGCUGAGGCCCUGAGGUAGGGGCAGAAGAGGGUGUUGGAGCCGCAUGGGAAGCAGCCCCAGGACAAUGGACUACAAUUGCCACUGAAGUAGUGAUGGGACAGAGAUUGCAGGUGCUCUGGAAGGGGGGGACACAAAGCGUGGCAUGACAGGUAAUGUCACUGAAGAGGAUGCUGCAGUCCUGGGUGUGGUGUUGGUCCUGGAACAAAAGUGAUGGGCUGAGGCACCACCAGAGGAGGGUGCUCUGGUGAGCAGAGCUAAUUCCCAUGACAGCUGGCAGGAGGUGCCGCAGUGGUCAUUUGCUUGAAGACACUCGAGUACCAAGCACACAUGUUGGCCAUGAAGGGCUGGGAUUUCUGAGAAGAUGACAAUGUCAUCUAAAUAGGUCAUUACGAACUGCUUCAGAACAUCUCUAAAGAUGUCAUUCACAAAGUGCUAGAAUGUGGCUGGAGCAUUGGAAAGACUGAAGGGCACAACAAGGUAUUCAGAAUGAUCAUACUGGCUGUGAAUUGCUGUCUUCCACUCACUGGCAUCUGGAAUACAGACUAGACUGUAAACACCACAAAGAUCAAGCUUGGUGAAUAUUUGAGCAGAGCCCACCCUCUCCAAUAGUUCAGUGUUCAAAGGGAUUGGUGAGCUGUUACUCCUUGAAUUAGCUGGACACAGAAGGUGGUGAUCUUCUUCUCCAUGCUAGUUUCUCAUUCCUUGCUGCCUGACUCUGCAAGACACCAUUGCUGGCAGUAGCCUGACUCGAACCAUACCUUUUGCAUCUUCCAGGAGAUAUUUGGAUCAUGGACCAAGAAGCAGGGGAUGCCAAGUAUGAUGGGGAAGUGAAGUGAGUUAAUAAAGUUAAAUUGCAGGGUUUCUUGGUGGUCUUGUAUUUUGACCCAAAAAGGCACAGAUUCAAGGGCGAUGAGACUUGAGGAUAGCAUGCUACCUUCAAUCAAUUUCACCAGGUGUGGGGCAAGCUUUCUUUUUACUGGAAGCUGAGUAGCCCUAGCAAACCCAGCGUACACUGAAUUAAUAGAGGCUCCAGAAUCCACAGGUGCAAGUUGGGUGCAGCUCACCUUAGGUGUGGAAGGGAUGCAGAGACAGAACAAGACUAACAGGUGGGGAUGGCAGUGAUCCACAGCUGUUAAACUGCAUGUUGGCAGAAGAGGGGAUCCAUUUCAGAAACCUGAUUCCAUUAUUACGUCCAGCCACAACCCCCUUAAUGGGGCUGAACUCGGUUGUUUCCUGGAUCUGGCGCAGGUCUGGAUUCAAGGGCAUAGUCAAUGGUGAAGUGACCUGCCCAUCACAGUACAAGCAAAGGCCAUUCCAUCACCAAUACUCUUUCUCACAGACAGUGAGGUGUCUGGGCAUUAUGGGCUGCACCUAGGGGCAGUCGGAAUGGGACCACACCCAGACUUGGGUUGAAUGUAUAGUCUUUUUUCCAUGGCACCAUUCGAACAGUUGACUGAACUAUACUUACAGAUUGACAGUAUACGAGUUCAGCACUGUGUGUGCUUUAAGUUGGGGGCAGCCCAAAGCUCAAGAUCAAACUAUUGAUGAGAUGUGGGUCAAAAUGGACUCAGUCUGUUUAGCUUUACCCAGGGACCCAUGGGACACACUAAAUCCUUGAGUGACCCAAAUUGAUAACAAUAUUUAAGAAAUUGUACUUAGUGAAUGGGCCAAUGCAGAAAAAUUAAAGGGUUUCUAUUCCCGCUAUUUUAUGUGCUUUAAAGCUUGGUUCUUGUAAAUGCUGUAAAAUCCAAAUGGUUAAUUGGAUUGCUUUGAAAUUUGGUGUGCCCCAUGGGCUGCACGGUAG